AAAGCCUCUGUGAAGAAACCAUUAAUUUUGAUAGAAAAGGAGACUGAGGUGACACAACUCAUAAUCAAGUUAACAAACAACUGAUGAAAACCAAGUUUUAGCAUGAUGCCCCUCAAGUACUCCCACUCGACACGAUCAUACGCCUUUGCCAUAUCCAAUUUGAUGGCACAGGCACCGGUCUUCCCCUUCUUCCUUUUCAAAUAAUGGAUGCAUUCAUACGCAAUAAGCACAUUAUCUGUAAUUAGCCUUCCUGGCACAAAGGCACUUUGCUCAUCUGAUAUCACCUCGUCCAGGAAAUCUCUUAGCCAUCUCGUCCUUUCAGCUCGAAGGUGAUCUGCUUGUGUAUGGCGUGAUUUUGAAUCGAAGUUACGUCAAAUCCCAUGGAGAUAAACUUGAUUUGGGCAGCAACGACCUCAAGCUUGAUAGCGGUCCAUCGUGCUGACAUUACACCAUGGUGGUCAGGUACAACGAGCUGGGAGAUGUCAUUUUGCAUUGACUCAGUUGCGUAUUCAAGACUUUCUCUUCCCCAACAAUUUUUUUAAGGGGUCCCAACAAAGAAAGAACUGAAAGGCGGAGGCACAAAAGCAUUUUCAUGUGGAUAGUAGCCCGGACAGUAGCCUGGUAUAUGUAUUUGAUUUUGGUACAUACUACUCCCAAAAUGGCCCUGUACCAAAAAAAAAGGAAAACUAAUAUCAGUAAUGAAGAUACAAGUAGUCUUGAUAGUAAUAAUUAUAACUGAAAUCUUAUACCAUGUCAGUGUAGUGUGGUUGCUCAUAUGUUAAAUUAUCUACUUCCACUGCAGGACCAUAAGCCUUUGGGUCAUUCUUGCCUUUCUUUUUCUUUCGUGUGUUUGCUUCUGUUGCAGAACCAGAAGCCAUUGGGUCAUUUUUGGUUUUCUUUUUCUGCCGUGUUGCCUUCUCGAAACCACCAAUUGGUCUCUCAGAUCCGUGAAUUUCCUUCUCCUUAACCUUCAAGCCUUUUGGUUUUAUAGCUUGGUCUUCUUCUUGUGUACCUACAAAAUAGAUAAUAAUUAGAUUUUGAUGUCAUAUGUAUGGUGGUUCAUGCAAUUAUUACUCAGGCUUAUACUA